CCUACGGGGAGCAGCAGUAGGGAAUAUUGCUCAAUGGGGGAAACCCUGAAGCAGCAACGCCGCGUGGAGGAUGAAGGUUUUCGGAUUGUAAACUCCUUUUGUUAGAGAAGAUAAUGACGGUAUCUAACGAAUAAGCACCGGCUAACUCCGUGCCAGCAGCCUCGGUAAUACGGAGGGUGCAAGCGUUACUCGGAAGCACUGGGCGUAAAGAGCGCGUAGGCGGGAUAGCAAGUCAGAGGUGAAAUCCUAGGGCUUAACCAUAGAACUGCAUUUGAAACUGUUAUUCUAGAGUAUGGGAGAGGUAGGUGGAAGUCUUGGUGUAGGGGUAAAAUCCGUAGAGAUCAAGAGGAAUACUCAUUGCGAAGGCGACCUGCUAGAACAUAACUGACGCUGAUGCGCGAAAGCGUGGGGAGCAAACAGGAUUAGAUACCCUUGUAGUC
rnacentral:rRNA from 1 species